GACGAACGCUGGCGGCGUGCUUAACACAUGCAAGUCGAACGGAAAGGCCCUGCUUUUGUGGGGUGCUCGAGUGGCGAACGGGUGAGUAACACGUGAGUAACCUGCCCUUGACUUUGUGAUAACUUCAGGAAACUGGGGCUAAUACCGGAUAGGAGCUCCUGCUGCAUGGUGUGGGUUGGAAAGUUUCGGCGGUUGUGGAUGGACUCGCGGCUUAUCAGCUUGUUGGUGGGGUAGUGGCUUACCAAGGCUUUGACGGGUAGCCGGCCUGAGAGGGUGACCGGCCACAUUGGGACUGAGAUACGGCCCAGACUCCUACGGGAGGCAGCAGUGGGGAAUAUUGCACAAUGGGCGGAAGCCUGAGGCAGCAACGCCGCGUGCGGGAUGACGGCCUUCGGGUGGUAAACCGCUUUCGCCUGUGACGAAGCGGGAGUGACGGUAAUGGGUAAAGAAGCAACGGCUAACUACGUG
rnacentral:rRNA from 1 species